AGAAAUAAUUAUUCUAUCACCCCCCUUCAAAAGUUAUAAGGCGUCCCCAUUUUUGUUCAUUGCUUUCUAUCGCCAAUGCUUUCCCAUAGGAGUGUACUCACUGAUGACAGUUCAUUACGUCUGACCAAUAGCCCGUGUUCUACUGAGGCCUUUGACAGCAUAUUACAGGCCCCUAAAACAACCUAAUGCGAUUCUUGACGGCAUACUGAAGGCUCUUCGAUAACAUAGGAACAAUGACCCUUCGAUAGCGCAGAGAAACCUUUCGGUAGCGUACAUCGACCCUCCAAUAGCGUAAAGCGACCCCUGACAGCGUAUUUCCAGCCCUUCAAAUACUAUUCGACAG